rfam:Ovis aries breed Texel chromosome 18, whole genome shotgun sequence.
UCCCUGGUGGCUCAGGCGGUAAAGCGUCUGCCUACAAUGCAGGAGACCUGGGUUCAAUCCCUAGGUUGAGAA